UGCUUUGAAGUUGUAAUUUUGAAAAUGAAUAUUAUCUUCGUAAGAAAGAAACUCAAAAGAAUUGACGGAGACCACACAAACAAACAGUGUUGCAUCUGAUUUACUUCAAUGGAACUCGAAGAAUUUUACCGGGACUUGACAUUGUGUGAAUCCUCUUUUGGUGCACGAUUGUCGUUAGCUGGUGCCAUAAGAUGCUGGUUUAAGUCCUGCAAUGAGCGUAAUCCUCGUAUUUAAUUACUAUUAGUGAAUUUGGAACCCUAAACAGAUUGCCGGUGACGAAGUUGAGGAUGAUGUCAUGCCCCUUAUUCACGAGACGACACACGUGCUACAAUGUCCAAGAUAAAUGUUCUUGAUCCCGCAAGAGUGAGAUAACUCCAUAAACCUGUCCUCAAUUCGGAUUGCAGACUGCAACUCGGUUGCAUGAAGUCGGAGUCGCUAGUAAUUGUGGUUCAGCCAUAACGACUGUGAAUUCUUUUGGGUCCUAUGCACACCGCCUAUCAGAUUAUAUAAGCUGACCAUACCCGAAGUCUUUACAAUAACUACAAUGAGAAAAUGUCAAAGACAGCCUUACUGGUAGGUGUGGCUGGAUCACUUUCUUU
rfam:Daucus carota subsp. sativus cultivar DH1 chromosome 9, whole genome shotgun sequence.